UGGGGAAUAUUGGACAAUGGGCGCAAGCCUGAUCCAGCAAUACCGCGUGUGUGAAGAAGGCCUUCGGGUUGUAAAGCACUUUCAGUAGCUAAGAAAGGCUCAGGGUUAAUACCCUUGAGAGUUGACAUAAACUACAGAAGAAGCACCGGCUAACUCUGUGCCAGCAGCCGCGGUAAUACAGAGGGUGCAAGCGUUAAUCGGAAUUACUGGGCGUAAAGCGCACGUAGGUGGGUGUUUAAGUCGAAAUGUGAAAACCCCCGCAGCUAACUUAGGGACUGGCAUGCGAUACUGGACACCUAGAGUAUAGUAGAGGAAGUGGAAUUUCCGGAGUAGCGGUGAAAUGCGUAGAUAUCGGAAGGAACACCAGUGGCGAAGGCGGCUUCCUGGGCUAAUACUGACACUGAGGUGCGAAAAGCGUGGGGGAGCAAAACAGGAUUAGAUACC
rnacentral:rRNA from 1 species